CCCCUUAUGUUCUGGGCUACACACGUGCUACAAUGGCCGGUACAACAGGCAGCGAACCCGUGAGGGGGAGCGAAUCCCAAAAGCCGGUCCCAGUUCGGACUGUAGGCUGCAACUCGCCUACACGAAGUUGGAGUUGCUAGUAAUCGCGGAUCAGAAUGCCGCGGUGAAUGCGUUCCCGGGUCUUGUACACACCGCCCGUCACACCAUGGAAGUUGGGGGUGCCCGAAGUCGGUUAGUUAAUCUAUCGCCUAAGGCAAAACCAAUGACUGGGGUGAAGUCGUAACAAGGUAGCCGUAUCGGAAGGUGCGGCUGGAUCACCUCCUUUCUAAGGA
rnacentral:rRNA from 1 species